rnacentral:rRNA from 1 species
UACAGAGACUGCAAGCGUUAUCCGGAUUCACUGGGUUUAAAGGGUGCGUAGGUGGGAAUGUAAGUCAGUGGUGAAAUCUCCGUGCUUAACAUGGAAACUGCCAUUGAUACUAUGUUUCUUGAAUUUUCUGGAGGUCAGCGGAAUAUGUCAUGUAGCGGUGAAAUGCUUAGAUAUGACAUAGAACACCAAUUGCGAAGGCAGCUGGCUACAGGGAUAUUGACACUGAGGCACGAAAGCGUGGGGAUCAAACAGG